CCGCCUCACCGCCCGAGCUCGCCGUCGCGCCGCCGCCGGCUCUGGUCGCCUCCACCUCCGCUCCAGGCAACCCUCGGUCGCCGGCUCGCUGGAGCACGACGGCAGACGAUGGAUGCCUGGUUGUGUGCGACGGAUGCAGUUCUCACGCGCAAGCUAGGGUUGGAGCCGCCAGCUCUUCAUCCUGCCCGCCGGCGGCGAGUCUUCCCGUCCCGUACUGCCGCCUCCCCGUUAUCACAGGUAUCUCCACCCCUUCCUCUUUCCCCCUCUUCUCUCCUCUCCCUUCUCCCUCCUCCAUCUCUGUUCCCUUCCCCCUCCCACCCCGUUAUCUGUUCAUGUUGUUGGCACCUGAAGAAGUUGGUGGCAUGGUGAAGCCCCUGAGCAAAAGUUGCAGGAGUCUUUGAAGGAGUUGGAGAAGUCUUAAACCUGAGUCCGAAUCCAAUUUCGUGGGAACAAGCAUAUAUUCCAUGAAUUUUCCAUUAGAUUCAGUGGACAGGUUCAUCUGGUCCUUUACUCCUCACAUAAUAACUGUGAAACUUAAUGAGGAACUUCUGAAAAAUGCUUCCUCCCCUCUGAUGUCUAUUUGGUUACUUAUGCUUGUGUGGUCUGGUUGUUCCUAAGUGCUUUCGGACAUUAUUAUUUGUGUGAUCAGCAUUGAGUAGAUUGCCUGCAGCAAGAUAACUUGAGUUUUGUUACUUAAGUAAACGAUAUGUAAAUAGCUCUAAGUUAACUGGACAUUUUGUCGCAUUGGCUUGAAUCUGCAUGUUGCAUCAUUUGUGCACAAUGAAAACUGUAUGAACCUGCAUUGGAUGGUGUAUUUGUAGGAAGGUUAUCCUUUCUUCAAGGACUGGAAGUUUCCUGGUAAGUGUUCCUUUUUCUUAAAAACUCUGUGUUUGUUUGCUGUAAUAUUUUGUUUACAUCAGGUUUCUCUUUCCUUUUGUGGGCAUAAUGGGCGAGACAAUAAUAUUCAGAAAGUUGUUGUUUUAGGGAAACUGCUAACUCCAUAUGUCAGACCCAUAUCAUUGUUGAGCAUGCAUAGUGUUCCUAUGUCAUUUCUAUGAUGUAUUUGUUUCCUUUUAUAUCACAGUAGUCUUCAUUUUGGCCAUGUACCUUCAAACUGAACCAAAAAUAGUUUGUCUGAUGACAUGUUUGAGGAGAUUCUUGAUAUGAAACAGUAGAUAUGAGGGUGACCGUUUUUUUUGCAAGUUUUGUCCGUGGAAUCUUUUUGCAGUUGAUAAGACAUGGGCUGGACUUACUUCCGAUCUGCAAUAUUUUCGGUAAAGUGAUUCAAGGAAACAAACAUCCACUGUGUCAAUCACUCAAGAUGGUGCAUGCAGUUUUCCUGAAAGUUAAGUCUGAGAGCCUGCUCCUACAUAAAGCUGGGUGACGGGACGACGGCCAAUUUCUGGGAGGACAAAUGGUUGCCGGGUGGGCGUUCCGUUUAAGACCUGGCGCCAACACUGCUCACUUUUGUGCCCAAGAGCACAACUAGUCAUCUAUGGUUUGGAUGGGGCUGGGUUCCUACAACGACGGCAACAGAGGCGACAAACACCACUUUGCAACGUCGCCGAACUGUGUUGCUGAACUGAAGGUACUGUAGCAAUCCUUCUGGUUUGGUAGCUACAACCGAGAUACUUAGCUUGUUUAUGCCUUCAUUUUUUUGUAGUAAAAAACAUGAUUCCAGCAUGUGUAGAGUAUUAGAUUUCAGUUGUUUGUUGUAGUUUGUUUUGCAACCUCGCCGAACUGUGUUGCUGAACUGAAGGUACUGUAGCAAUCCUUCUGGUUUGGUAGCUACAACUGAGAUACUUAGCUUGUUUAUGCCUUCAUUUUUUUGUAGUAAAAAACAUGAUUCCAGCAUGUGUAGAGUAUUAGAUUUCAGUUGUUUGUUGUUGUUUGUUUUCAGGGUUCAGUAAAUUCUGCAUCAAUAUUUAAAAUUUUAGUAUCAAGCGAUGAUGAGCAAGGUCCGCUUCUGAUUGUUGUAUGCCAACCCAUGUUUUCUAUUUGUAGAUGGUUGUGUUUUUGCAGUUGGCCUACAUCUAAUAAUUAGUAGUUAAUGUC